rnacentral:tRNA from 1 species
UCCUGGAUGGCUCAGACCGUAAAGAAUCUGCCUGCAAUGCAGGAGACCCAAGUUCAACCCCUGGGUCAGGAA